CUGGUGUCCUCGUCGUGCUGCGGGGUUCGUGCAGGGAAGGGCAGUGGUCAGGAAGGAAGGGUCCAUGUAAGGGGCAGAGUCCGAAAGAAACAACGGAUCUGCUGUCCU